AGCGUACACGGUGGAUGCCCUGGCAGUCAGAGGCGAUGAAGGACGUGCUAAUCUGCGAUAAGCGUCGGUAAGGUGAUAUGAACCGUUAUAACCGGCGAUUUCCGAAUGGGGAAACCCAGUGUGUUUCGACACACUAUCAUUAACUGAAUCCAUAGGUUAAUGAGGCGAACCGGGGGAACUGAAACAUCUAAGUACCCCGAGGAAAAGAAAUCAACCGAGAUUCCCCCAGUAGCGGCGAGCGAACGGGGAGGAGCCCAGAGCCUGAAUCAGUGUGUGUGUUAGUGGAAGCGUCUGGAAAGGCGCGCGAUACAGGGUGACAGCCCCGUACACAAAAAUGCACAUGCUGUGAGCUCGAUGAGUAGGGCGGGACACGUGGUAUCCUGUCUGAAUAUGGGGGGACCAUCCUCCAAGGCUAAAUACUCCUGACUGACCGAUAGUGAACCAGUACCGUGAGGGAAAGGCGAAAAGAACCCCGGCGAGGGGAGUGAAAAAGAACCUGAAACCGUGUACGUACAAGCAGUGGGAGCACAGAGCAAUCUGUGUGACUGCGUACCUUUUGUAUAAUGGGUCAGCGACUUAUAUUCUGUAGCAAGGUUAACCGAAUAGGGGAGCCGAAGGGAAACCGAGUCUUAACCGGGCGUUAAGUUGCAGGGUAUAGACCCGAAACCCGGUGAUCUAGCCAUGGGCAGGUUGAAGGUUGGGUAACACUAACUGGAGGACCGAACCGACUAAUGUUGAAAAAUUAGCGGAUGACUUGUGGCUGGGGGUGAAAGGCCAAUCAAACCGGGAGAUAGCUGGUUCUCCCCGAAAGCUAUUUAGGUAGCGCCUCGUGAAUUCAUCUCCGGGGGUAGAGCACUGUUUCGGCAAGGGGGUCAUCCCGACUUACCAACCCGAUGCAAACUGCGAAUACCGGAGAAUGUUAUCACGGGAGACACACGGCGGGUGCUAACGUCCGUCGUGAAGAGGGAAACAACCCAGACCGCCAGCUAAGGUCCCAAAGUCAUGGUUAAGUGGGAAACGAUGUGGGAAGGCCCAGACAGCCAGGAUGUUGGCUUAGAAGCAGCCAUCAUUUAAAGAAAGCGUAAUAGCUCACUGGUCGAGUCGGCCUGCGCGGAAGAUGUAACGGGGCUAAACCAUGCACCGAAGCUGCGGCAGCGACACUGUGUGUUGUUGGGUAGGGGAGCGUUCUGUAAGCCUGUGAAGGUGUGCUGUGAGGCAUGCUGGAGGUAUCAGAAGUGCGAAUGCUGACAUAAGUAACGAUAAAGCGGGUGAAAAGCCCGCUCGCCGGAAGACCAAGGGUUCCUGUCCAACGUUAAUCGGGGCAGGGUGAGUCGACCCCUAAGGCGAGGCCGAAAGGCGUAGUCGAUGGGAAACAGGUUAAUAUUCCUGUACUUGGUGUUACUGCGAAGGGGGGACGGAGAAGGCUAUGUUGGCCGGGCGACGGUUGUCCCGGUUUAAGCGUGUAGGCUGGUUUUCCAGGCAAAUCCGGAAAAUCAAGGCUGAGGCGUGAUGACGAGGCACUACGGUGCUGAAGCAACAAAUGCCCUGCUUCCAGGAAAAGCCUCUAAGCAUCAGGUAACAUCAAAUCGUACCCCAAACCGACACAGGUGGUCAGGUAGAGAAUACCAAGGCGCUUGAGAGAACUCGGGUGAAGGAACUAGGCAAAAUGGUGCCGUAACUUCGGGAGAAGGCACGCUGAUAUGUAGGUGAAGUCCCUCGCGGAUGGAGCUGAAAUCAGUCGAAGAUACCAGCUGGCUGCAACUGUUUAUUAAAAACACAGCACUGUGCAAACACGAAAGUGGACGUAUACGGUGUGACGCCUGCCCGGUGCCGGAAGGUUAAUUGAUGGGGUCAGCGCAAGCGAAGCUCUUGAUCGAAGCCCCGGUAAACGGCGGCCGUAACUAUAACGGUCCUAAGGUAGCGAAAUUCCUUGUCGGGUAAGUUCCGACCUGCACGAAUGGCGUAAUGAUGGCCAGGCUGUCUCCACCCGAGACUCAGUGAAAUUGAACUCGCUGUGAAGAUGCAGUGUACCCGCGGCAAGACGGAAAGACCCCGUGAACCUUUACUAUAGCUUGACACUGAACAUUGAGCCUUGAUGUGUAGGAUAGGUGGGAGGCUUUGAAGUGUGGACGCCAGUCUGCAUGGAGCCGACCUUGAAAUACCACCCUUUAAUGUUUGAUGUUCUAACGUGGACCCGUGAUCCGGGUUGCGGACAGUGUCUGGUGGGUAGUUUGACUGGGGCGGUCUCCUCCUAAAGAGUAACGGAGGAGCACGAAGGUUGGCUAAUCCUGGUCGGACAUCAGGAGGUUAGUGCAAUGGCAUAAGCCAGCUUGACUGCGAGCGUGACGGCGCGAGCAGGUGCGAAAGCAGGUCAUAGUGAUCCGGUGGUUCUGAAUGGAAGGGCCAUCGCUCAACGGAUAAAAGGUACUCCGGGGAUAACAGGCUGAUACCGCCCAAGAGUUCAUAUCGACGGCGGUGUUUGGCACCUCGAUGUCGGCUCAUCACAUCCUGGGGCUGAAGUAGGUCCCAAGGGUAUGGCUGUUCGCCAUUUAAAGUGGUACGCGAGCUGGGUUUAGAACGUCGUGAGACAGUUCGGUCCCUAUCUGCCGUGGGCGCUGGAGAACUGAGGGGGGCUGCUCCUAGUACGAGAGGACCGGAGUGGACGCAUCACUGGUGUUCGGGUUGUCAUGCCAAUGGCACUGCCCGGUAGCUAAAUGCGGAAGAGAUAAGUGCUGAAAGCAUCUAAGCACGAAACUUGCCCCGAGAUGAGUUCU
rnacentral:rRNA from 1 species